CAGAGCCCAGAACCAGAACACAUUUGGAUCCCUAGUGCGUGCAAAUGAUUGUUGAUGGCAUGUUUGGUGCCAGGACCCAUGGAAGGUUCUUGUACAGCCCUGUGAAAGUAGAGGCAUAUGAAGUCAAGAGAUCUGACAUCGUUAGAUGUGACAUCAUGAAGCUACCAGCUCUGCGGUCCUUUGGAAGCUCCUGGAGAUCCUCAAAAACAAACUGACAUCAGGAAUGAUCCAAGAGAGGGAGAGCUGUUGGCAAAAGAGGAGGUGACAGAGAAGAACAUUUGAGAGGAGAUGGA